GAAUUCAUUAGAUUGUCUUGACGUUGACGUCGAUUGUCCGCAUCCUGCUGGAAACGUCGCAAUUCCUCAUAAACCUCAUCGUCUGUUUCCUAUGAAGCGACAAAUGGGACAGGAGUUUGCCUUCACAGCAAAAUGCACUCCUCGUGGAACUCGUGCUUGCAUGGCAGAAUCUUGAAUUUAUCACCGGCUUGCGCUGGCUCCUUGCACACGGCACACUCGAAAUCCUCUUUGACCUCGUCGGCGGCAAUGUCAUGGAUCGGGAGCGCUUCUAUGGCCCGCUUAGAUGCCUCCGGCACCUCGAUCUCCAUAUCAAUGCCAUUCAUGAUGGCCAGCACCUGGAGACGGCGAUAAUGCCGGUCAAAAUCAUUGGCGCCCUCCGGUCCUGUGGGCGUAUGUCCCAGUUCUUCGAAGUAAUCGGCCAUGAUGCGCUGCUCUCUGCAAAGGUGUAUCAAAAUUUUGAAAUAUGUACAGUUUUUGACAAGCUCAAGAAAAACUUUUAGUAUAUCUUCUCAUUUUUUUUUUUUUUUUUUUUUUUUUUUAGGGGGUUUGUAGAGCCAAAUGCCAUUUUAUUUCAAAGUCAAAUUAAAUCGUAUACAAUUUCUCUCA